UUUGAUCCUGGCUCAGGACGAACGCUGGCGGCGUGCUUAACACAUGCAAGUCGAGCGGUAAGGCACUUCGGUGUACACGAGCGGCGAACGGGUGAGUAACACGUGAGUAAUYUGCCCUUCACUCUGGGAUAAGCACUCGAAAGGGUGUCUAAUACCGGAUACGACAUAGAGCUGCAUGGCUUCUGUGUGGAAACUUUUAUGGGUGGGGGAUGUGCUCGCGGCCUAUCAGCUUGUUGGUGAGGUAAUGGCUCACCAAGGCUUCGACGGGUAGCCGGCCUGAGAGGGCGAUCGGCCACACUGGGACUGAGACACGGCCCAGACUCCUACGGGAGGCAGCAGUGGGGAAUAUUGGACAAUGGGCGGAAGCCUGAUCCAGCAACGCCGCGUGAGGGAUGACUGCCUUCGGGUUGUAAACCUCUUUCAUCAUUGACGAAGCUUCAACGUUGUUGGGGUGACGG
rnacentral:rRNA from 1 species